CAGAAGUCAGGUCGGAUUAAGCCAUAGCACGGAAAAAACUAUGCUACCUGUGAGCCCCGUCCAAGGACGUUAAAAGAAGUCAGGCCACUACAAGUGCCAUAGCUUGAGCAAACUAUGCAGCCUGUAGCUCCACCUGAGGUG
rnacentral:lncRNA from 1 species